rnacentral:rRNA from 1 species
AUUGAACGCUGGCGGCAGGCCUAACACAUGCAAGUCGAGCGGAGCGUCGGACGGGUGAGUAAUACCUAGGAAUCUGCCUGGUAGUGGGGGAUAACGUUCGGAAACGGACGCUAAUACCGCAUACUAUCAGAUGAGCCUAGGUCGGAUUAGCUAGUUGGUGAGGUAAUGGCUCACCAAGGCUACGAUCCGCAACUGGUCUGAGAGGAUGAUCAGUCACGCUGGAACUGAGACACGGUCCAGACUCCUACGGGAGGCAGCAGUAGGGAAUAUUGGACAAUGGGCGAAAGCCUUAUCCAGCCAUGCCGCGUGAGUGAAGAAGGUCUUCGGAUGGUAAAGCACUUUAAGUAGGGAGGCGUUACCGAAAGAAUAAGCACCGGCUAACUCUGUGCCAGCAGCCGCGGUAAUAC